rnacentral:rRNA from 1 species
UACGGAGGGUGCGAGCGUUGUCCGGAAUCAUUGGGCGUAGAGGGCGCGUAGGUGGCCCGGUCAGUUCGUGGUGAAAGCGCGGGGCUCAACCCUGCGUCGGCCAUGAAUACUGCCGCGGCUGGAGCACUGUAGAGGCAGGCGGAAUUCCGGGUGUAGCGGUGGAAUGCGUAGAGAUCCGGAAGAACACCGGUGGCGAAGGCGGCUCUCUGGGCCUUACCUGACGCUGAGGAGCGAAAGCGUGGGUAGCGAACAGG